UAGGAGAAACCAAGUGAUAUUUAAGUUUGUGUGUCUGAUUUAUUUCACCUAACAUUAUGGUCACAAGGUGCUUCUAUUGUCCCACAAAGGACUCAAGUCUGUCCUUCUUUAUGACAGAGCGGCACUCCAUUGUGUAGAAACACCGCAUUUUCUUUAUCCAUUCUCUGCACCUGCCUCACGUCAGCCCAUUGGUGUACCAGUGGCUCUGCCAACAUUGCUCCAGUUGAGCCCCUGGACAGCCUCUCCGUGGUUGUGGUCUUGACCCUCAACAUUGUCAUGGCCACCUGGAGCAGCACAGCUCCCUCCCACCUGCUGUACCUGUCUUAUGCUCCAUUCUGCUGGCAGCAUCUUUCUAAAUGGAGCAGUCUCAGCAUGGCGAGCAGCUCUCCUGGAUGUACUCAGGGGCUGGUGUCCUGCCUUGUUGCCUCACCUCUCAGAUCUCCAUGGGCUGCUGCACCCAGCAUCCAACUUACAGCAAAAAGGAAGUCCGGGCAAGCCACGUGCCCCCAUGUCGUACCCUUCUCCCCACAGACUGGAAAGCAUGGCUCUUGCUGGGCCAGCCAAACCACAGCCAGCUGGGUGAGCUUGCAGUAGGAGAAUGGGUUCUGUGCCUCCCACCUGGGGUGAGAAUGACAACACAAACCAAUAAGUAGUAUAUAGAAAUGUCAGGUGGCAGCGUGUGCCAUGGAGGAGAGGGAAGCAGAGAAAAGGGGAGGAAGUGCGAGAGGUUGUAACUUUAGUUUAGUAGAGAAGCCUCAUCCAGAAGGUGACAUCUGAGAAAGGGCCUAGCACAGCUGAGGGGGUGAUCCCUGCCGCAGUCCUGCAGGAAGAGGGUUGGAGGUUAGUGGCAAUGAGAGGUAGCUACAAUUCAGCAGAGGAGCAGCAGUUUUGUGAGGGGAGGUGGCCAUGGUGGUGAUGAACAGCUCGUUUUUUGGACCUGUCAAAUUUAGGACAUGGCUCACUCAAGUGGAGGUGGCCAGUAGGCUGUCAGAUGGAUGAUUCCCGACUCAGGAAAGCAGUGCACAUUGGAAGCAGGAAUCACAGAGAAGGAAAAAUACGGCAUCCUGCUCAAUCUUAGUCAUUAGCAUGAGGCCAUGCUCCUUUCUGUCGGGAGAUACCACCGGCUGGGAGAGAACAGUCAGUCACGACGUUUCCAGAGCUGACAGCGGGUCAACCAAGUGGCCGCUGGUUCCCAGUGAACUCACCCUGAGGGGAAAGCUUGGCCUUCACCCCAUCAGGGACCUUUGUGUCUUUGAGCCACUGUUUCAUCUUCUUUGGGAGAAAAACUGAGACUCAGAGAAGUGAAAGUCUGGUUCACAGCCAGGGUAGAAAGUGGCAAAAGCCAGACUUUGGGGAAUAUUUUUUUCCUUUCUUAGCCUGGCCUGUCUGAAUGGAGCCCUUUGUAAGAAUAUUCUCUGUGAAGAAGGAUCUUUUGUUUGGCAAGUUUUUAAACAUCAGGUCCUAGGAAGUUGGAGAGGUUAAACACGUGGUGCAAUCAAUGGAAAACAGAAUAUAGAGCUUGGAAAGCUUGGCAAGGGUGGGAGGUGGCCAUGCCCUUCCAGAAACCAUCUUUGCACAUCCUUUUCCAUUUCUCUUUCUGACUGAUCCCUUCCAGACUCACGCCCCCUCCUGUCUGCCCAAGAAUACUCUCUCUUCUGGCACCAGUGACACCCAGGCAUUGCUCAGUGUGUCCAGCUGCCACAGCCAGUCAAGGUUCCCUGUGAGUCUGAGGCACUGAGCCCUCCUGUGGGCUCAUGAGGGACCAGCUGCCCUGCCUACCUGAACAGUUUGCCCCGGCACAGUCCUAGGAUGGCUCUGUGGCCUGGCUGUUUCUCUCUAUAGAGGCAAUCAUGGUCUUUAUGUAAACAGACAUGAGCUACCUUUUGCUCAUAAGUACUUGGCAUAGUGUUUUACUCUCUCAGAAGCUACACACAUCCAUGGAGCAAUACAAUCUACUGGAUCAGGUUAGAGGCCUGAUUCCAGCUCUGAAGUGAUCUCACUCUGCUGUGUAACCUUGAGCAGGUGAUUCCAGCUCAUGUCUACUUAUGAGUCAAAUGGAGAUCAUCAGUGAACAGUUACAACCUUAUCUAGUUAGGAGGAUGAAAUCACUGAAGUGUGUUACCAAAGUACAGGCGUGUGAAAGUGCACACAGCCAUGGACGUGAGUAUUCCUCUCCUGUCGCCACCCUGGCAUGCAGAUGGGUUCCUGAUUAGCAGCACCUCGGAUGUUCCUCUUGUCUUUACCCAGUGAGACAACUCUCUGUAACAUAUAUGUUUCCCAUGUUGCUUUAGCUACAUUCAGGAGCUCCUUUAGGAGUGAGAUCCAGGUUUGUACCUUGCUUAUACUCCACAGAGGGUCAGCUUGGAUUUUGGAAAAACACCUGUUAAAUUUUGCUGGUGACUUCUGUUGUCUCUCCUGGUUCCUUCAGCUUAUCUAAUGCCUUGUAGGGUGUCAUUUUCAUCUCAAACACUCAGUGCAUGAUUGCUCAGCAAUGUGGAACUCCUAUGGACAUGUAUAGUAUAAAAUCAUUCCCAUGUAUAUAUGUCAUAUGAUGUCUA
rnacentral:lncRNA from 1 species